rnacentral:rRNA from 1 species
CCUACGGGAGGCAGCAGUGGGGAAUAUUGCACAAUGGGCGAAAGCCUGAUGCAACGACGCCGCGUGAGGGAUGACGGCCUUCGGGUUGUAAACCUCUUUCAGCAGGGAAGAAGCGAAAGUGACGGUACCUGCAGAAGAAGCGCCGGCUAACUACGUGCCAGCAGCCGCGGUAAUACGUAGGGCGCAAGCGUUGUCCGGAAUUAUUGGGCGUAAAGAGCUCGUAGGCGGCUUGUUGCGUCGGUUGUGAAAGCCCGGGGCUUAACCCCGGGUCUGCAGUCGAUACGGGCAGGCUAGAGUGUGGUAGGGGAGAUCGGAAUUCCUGGUGUAGCGGUGAAAUGCGCAGAUAUCAGGAGGAACACCGGUGGCGAAGGCGGAUCUCUGGGCCAUUACUGACGCUGAGGAGCGAAAGCGUGGGGAGCGAACAGGAUUAGAUACCCUGGUAGUCCACGCCGUAAACGUUGGGAACUAGGUGUUGGCGACAUUCCACGUCGUCGGUGCCGCAGCUAACGCAUUAAGUUCCCCGCCUGGGGAGUACGGCCGCAAGGCUAAAACUCAAAGGAAUUGACGG